GGCUCAGGUGACUUAGUGGUUAGAGUGUCCGCCUCGGAUGCGGGAGGUCGUGCUUUCAAAUCUCGGCCGAGUCA